GAUGAACGCUGACAGAAUGCUUAACACAUGCAAGUCUUUGGCGAAGCUGUGCUCGCACAGCCUAGCCAAGGCGGACGGGUGAGUAACGCGUAAGGAACUUGCCCUGCAGUCAGGGAUAACAGACGGAAACGACUGAUAAGACCUGGUAAAGUCAGGCGGACUCAUGUCCAGCCUGAUGAAAAGAGAUGCUGCAGGAGAGCCUUGCGUCCUAUUAGCUUGUUGGUGGGGUAACGGCCCACCAAGGCGAUGAUAGGUAGCCGGCCUGAGAGGGUGGACGGCCACAGGGGGACUGAGAUACGGCCCUUACUCCUACGGGAGGCAGCAGUGGGGAAUAUUGGACAAUGGGGGCAACCCUGAUCCAGCAAUUCUGUGUGCACGAUGAAGGUUUUCGGAUUGUAAAGUGCUUUCAGCAGGGAAGAAAAAAAUGACGGUACCUGCAGAAGAAGCGACGGCUAAAUACGUG
rnacentral:rRNA from 1 species